rnacentral:rRNA from 1 species
UACGAAGGGGGCUAGCGUUGUUCGGAAUCACUGGGCGUAAAGCGUGCGUAGGUGGUGAGUUAAGUCUGUCGUGAAAGCCCCGGGCUCAACCUGGGAAUGGCGAUGGAUACUGGCUCGCUAGAGUGCGGUAGAGGAGAGUGGAAUUCCCGGUGUAGCAGUGAAAUGCGUAGAGAUCGGGAGGAACAUCAGUUGCGAAGGCGGCUCUCUGGACCAGCACUGACACUGAGGCACGAAAGCGUGGGGAGCAAACAGG